UUGACCUAGAAGCAUUUCAGUUUGUUUCCCUCCAGGGAACCGGCUGAGUGUUUGUGAAACUCCUAUUUGCCACAGUGCCAGGUUUACUGACUGAAGCUCAUUAAACCACAGGGCAGCCCUUCAGAGUUUCCUGAGCUGCAGAACAGCUGAGUGAGUUCAUUCUGACCCAGGAAGCAUGCUUAUAGAGGCUUCUUAUCCAAGCCUCAAGGUAAGUCUCACUCUGUACUCAGAAGCAGCUCCCUGGGCCUCUCUAAUCAGAGGAGCUCCCAAGGAAGAGUGGAGACCACAGAGGCCUGGUUUUCCAUUUGUGUAAACAACUCCAAGUUCCCCAUGCUAUACCCUGCCAGCAGUUUACCAGCUCCUGGCUCCGGAUUAUUCAUGGGCUGGGAGAAGGAGGAGGAGGGCACGGUGAUCUGAGCGGACCCCUUGAGAGAGCAAAGCUGCACUUUGGUGAUGGUGGUUUAACUGCACCCCAUGUGGAGGCUUAGUCAAGGUCAGUCAUCAAGUGACCCAGAAAAUAAUAUUUGUAACUUCCAAGGUUUCUGUUCAAGAAUGUGCUGUGGGAUCUGUCUGCACCAAGGCUUGUGGUGGCUGCAGCAUGGUGAGUGGCCCAGAGCUGAAUGCUGUGCUGUUAGCAUCGUUGAGAGUCAAGGGAAGUCAAAAUUACCUGUUACUUUUGUAGCAAAACAAUCACAUAAGCAUUUCAAAACUGAAAAGAUGAGAUUUCAACAGAACUUCAUGCUUAUGCCAGGAUGCUUCAGAUUAUGUUGUGAACCAGCCUCCCCUACCCACUUCAGGGGUACUUGGGCUGCAGCAAUGGGACCAAGACUUUAAGGGUGGGCUGUUAACUGACAUCCCGCAAGCAAUGAUUAAAAUAAACGAAAAAUUACAGGGAAUGUAAGAAAGAAG
rnacentral:lncRNA from 13 species